CAUGACAACAUCUACGAAGUGUCAAUAUCAUGCUGCUGCUUCAAAGCCGAAAUGGUGAGUGGAUGUGAAGUGAAAUUGGAUUUGGCGGAUUAAGCAUACGAUAAGAAAUGUUGUUCCAAUUAUUACGUGUAGGCAGUGGAAGCCUGUUGCUAUGAAGAAUGUUGAGCCGUACACGCUGUCUGAAAUGGUAAAUGAGGUUUCUAUGUAUUCGGAGGCUUGUAAAACAGUAAAGUAAAUUCCUAAAAUAAUAGUAAUGAAAAGGGCUUGAAUUAUUGGGAUUCGGUUACCUUCUAUGAGGCUGUGAUGGGCUCAUGUAAUUGAUACUCCGGAGGCUAGAAGGACAGAGUACCACUACUUCAAGCAC